GACGAACGCUGGCGGCGUGCUUAACACAUGCAAGUCGAACGGAAAGGCCCUGCUUUUGUUGGGUUCUCGAUUGGCGAACGGGUGAGUAACACGUGAGUAACCUGCCCUUGACUUUGGGAUAACUUCACGAAACUGGGGCUAAUACCGGAUAUGAGCUCCUGCUGCAUGUGGUGGGUUGGAGAGUGUCGGCGGUUGGGGAUGGACUCGCUGCUUAUCAGCUGGUUGGUGUGGUAGUUGCUGACCAAGGCUUUGACGGGUAGCCGGCCUGGGAGGGUGACCGGCGACAUUGGGACUGCGAUAGGGAGCAGAAUGGUACGGGAGGCAGCAGGCGGGAGUAUUGCACAACGGGGGGACGCGUGAGACAGAAACGUCGCGUGCGGGAUGCCGUGUUUCGGGUUGUAAACAGAUUUCGAAGGUGAUGAAGAGUGAGUGACGGUAAUGGGUAAAGAAGCACCGGCUAACUACGUG
rnacentral:rRNA from 1 species